ensembl:lncRNA
CGCGCGGGUAACCAGAGCGGGACCGCUCUGCCUCAAGGAUGCUCCACAGCUGCUCCGCGGAGCCGCGUGGGUACCACUGAAGCGGGCACGGAUUGGCCAGCGUCCCCAAGGGCUCGCGCGCGUCCUUCAAGACUUGCCAACACGCAGGAAAAGGCAGACAGGGAAUCAACCUGGGCUGAUCCGAGGGCAAGGCCAAAGGAUGCUACCGGAAAGGAGGCUCGGAGGGGGCGCGCGGCGGCGGCCUGGGCUGGGGGAGCACAGAGCGCAGCUUUCACCCAAUGGCGAGGUCUGUAAACAAAAGCGGGCCCCACGCGGGUCCCCCGCCGGGCGGUGAGCGGCGCCGCGCAGCAGCAUCGAGCGGCCAAGCCCACGAGAGGGAGAGGCGGGGUCGAGAUCGGCGCGGGGACCCAACGCACAGCCCCCGGGACCCCGCAUCCAGACCCGUUAUUGUCUGCGCGCGCGCAAGAUGCUGCUUUAAAUGCUCCCUCCCAGGUCAGCCGCAGGUCCCCGGCCCUGUGUGCCGCCCCCCAGGCUCUCUGCCCCGUGUGUCCGGCCCCGAGUGCGGCACGGAUCGCCAAGGUGAGCGCCCAGGCAGCGUCGCCGAAAACCCAGGCCUGGAGGUGCCCAAGUCAGGGACGGAGAUACACACACAGGCACACGCACGCACACGCAUGCCCUCCCCGAAGUUGAUAAAAAUCAGCCGACAAAUACAAAGUGCCACCGCCGCCGCAGGUCAGCGCUGACCUCCUGCUGCCGGGAAGACCGAAUGCCAACGCCUGGACGCUGUCACUUCCAUUUGGCGCCGGGCACCUGGGCGCCUCUGGCUUGUCUCCCUCCUGACUGCUCCCUCGCGCGAGGGAUGUCUCCUCUUGCCUCCCCUCGCCAGCUCCCCACCUCCCAAGUGUGUGAACACGAAAACAAUACGAGUAAAGCUCAAUCGGGGGGAGCUAGGACCCGCCGGGAGCCCCAGUGUGCGGGAGAUGGGGGUCAGGACGUGCCCGUCACGGGCAAAGCGGCUCCGGGCAUCCUCAUCGUCGUCCCUCGGGGCGGCUCUGGCCAGCCGGCCCGGGCCCCCCAGGCCUGCAGUACUCACCCACGACGCUCGUCCCGGAUCUCCGCGAUGGGGCCGGGGACAAUGCGGGGCUGCCGGGCUCCUGAGGCUGCGGGCGCCGAGGCGAUCACCGCGCUGCAGAGCUGCGCGCCCGACGGCGGCGGCGCUGCUCGGCCCGGCCGCGCUCCGGCCCGCUUGCCGUCUGCCAAUGGGAGGUGUCAGGGUGCCUCCGCCGGCGGCCUCGGGGGCGGGGCCGCGGGAGCCCGUGGGAAACCGAACUCCGAUUGGGCCGCCUGACAAUCGCUCCGCCUCCGGCCGGCCAAUCAAAGACGGCGGAUACAGGAGCGGGGCGUUCGGAGUUGGGCUGGAGAGCGACAACAGGCGCACGCUGGGUACCCGGGCUGCAUCCCGGCUUGGCGCGCGCGGCUGGAAGGAUGCGGGCGCUGCGCGCUCCGGGGCUGCCUUCCCACGAGGCUCCGGCGGCCAGGCUAGGGAGAGAGGGGGAAAGCAGAGGAGGCGCGGCUGGCCGGGCAUCGGUGCGGGAGCUCCUAACAAAGCAGCUUUGGGAGGGCCGAGCGGCCUCCGCCUCCUCCCGCAAUAGGUCCGCGAAGCUGCCUGUCACCCUGCAUAGGUGGAGGUGGCCAAUGACGUACAGAGAAGGAGCUCGAGUUGGCGCGCGCGCGCGGCUCGGCAUCGGUGGGAUUGGUCGGAGGUAAAGGAUUUUCCUGCCACCUAAGGCAGAGAGGAAAGGGGAACGGAACGGGGGAGGGGAAGAGCCAAAAUACGUUGUACCUGCGACACGUGGUCUGGCUUGGAAGGCGUGUGCCUGCUUCCAGAGGGAGACGAGAACUUUUUUGCUAGGGAAAAAAAACCCUCACGUAAUCCCUCCCUGUGGAUGCUAGGGGAUGUUAGCGCUAACCAGGCGCCAGGUAGGGCACGGUGGCCUUAACCGAGUCCUGGGGGGUCCAGGACGCACCGGUUGACUCACCUUGCCCGGCUAGUGAACCUGCAAUCACAGCGUGGGCUCGGGCCUCACAUUCACCUACUGGGGCAGAGUACCUGACUCGGGCACGGUUCGCACAGACCUCCUGGUCUCUUCUGUAAAAUGCGGAAACGAGGUUUGCCGUUUACCUUUCGCGAAGUCGUGAGGGACACGGAAACCGGGACGCUGAUUGUAGAGACUCAAACGAAAGCUCGCCCCCACACCGGGCAGUGCUUCCUCCUCACUUUAAAUGCUUUGGACUUCGCCGUUGUGAACAAAGGCUGCGGGGAAUAUUCGUUACAACAGAUGCGGUGGCCGCGUUCGCACCGAGGAAGGCCAGCGCUCCCACCCCCACCCCCACCUCGUGGUUAUCUGGUCGAAAACAAGGAAUUCCCUGUGUCAGAGAGUAAACCUAAACUGGAAAAUUAAAAGUCAUCCUUGACUUCUCCCUCCUCCUCCUCCUCCCCUCUAUUCCUGCCAACCUCCCCAAUCCAUGCCCUCCUCCUGGUCCUCUCUCACUAGACCACAUCAAAGACUUCCCAUGUCUUUCUACCCCAGGCCUUGCCUCCUGAAAUCUAUUCUCCACUUGGCGGAAAAGUCUCAUUUUGCUGACUCCCCUCUGGAUCGCUUCCCUUUGCCCAGAGCCCCCCCUGCCCCCAUGCUUUCCUUUCACUUGACUGCUUCUUACCCAUUCUUCGGAUCCCAACUUCGCAGGCAGGGCAUUGAUGCAGUAGAAGUUUGCUGAACUCCAGCUGUGCAGCAGACAGUCUUGUGGGAGCAUCUGUAUCCAGUCGAGGUUAGAUACCCACAUCCCCCACCCCCGGUGUUCCCAUGUGUUACAACGGGGCUGAAAUUGCCCGUUAAUUGUGCUCUCCCCCCACCACCACAGCACUCCAUUGCAUCCGGAAUCUUAUCUGCCUUGUAUCUGCUGUGUCCCAGUGCCUAGCAUAGUACUUGGCACAUUUGGGGCUCUCCAAAAUACUUAAUCAAUGAACUAUAGAGGAGCUGUAAUGAGAGACGAGCUUUGAAGAUCUGAAGUGCUUCUGAAACAUCAGUUUGAGAAGAAUGGUUGGGAUAGUAGAUCUCAGAGUGAUAGGCCCACCAGGUCCUGUGAUGGGUGUUACAGCGAAGUUUUUGAGUGAGGUUUGAGAGAUUUUCCAAAAGACACCCUUUCAAAAGACUGCCUUUAUAUCAGCCAAUACCUUGCCCAAGCUUCUCAAGGGAGAAUCCUUCCUUUGUGAAGCUUUUCAUCCCAGGAGAAAGAGCAAUGUCUUACAAGUUCUUAACCUGUUACCAGACACCAUCUUAGAAGGGGA